UUGCAUUGUAAAUAUCUUGUAUCUUGUCUUUUGAAUUGUAUGUUGAAUAGAAAAGAAAAGAGACAAAAAGAAAAAAAAAAGGAAAAAAAAUACAGAAAAAAUUUGUGAAUAAUGGAGUCAAGAAGAGGAUGGAAUUAGAGGUUGUAGGUGUGUUUGAAGGUGUUUACACUUGUUCCCCAUUGCUCCUCUGUUCCUUUUGGUUUGUAGCUUCUUAUCCAGAUGUAUCCUCCCUUGUCCUUNGCCCCAUUACAACCAUGAAAAGACCUUUUGAUUUGAACAUGCAUGUGUGCUUGAGUGUUGAUAUUAGAGGCUUGCCAAGUCUAUUUGUGUUUGCUUUCUUGAGUGCAUCGAGUGACAUUGAUUUAUCUUAAACACUUGAGAGAAACACCGAUUGUGUGCAUCAG
rnacentral:lncRNA from 1 species